rnacentral:rRNA from 1 species
GACGAACGCUGGCGGCGUGCCUAAUACAUGCAAGUAGAACGCUGAAGGAGGAGCUUGCUUCUCUGGAUGAGUUGCGAACGGGUGAGUAACGCGUAGGUAACCUGCCCGGUAGCGGGGGAUAACUAUUGGAAACGAUAGCUAAUACCGCAUAAGAGUAGAUGUUGCAUGACAUUUGCUUAAAAGGUGCAAUUGCAUCACUACCAGAUGGACCUGCGUUGUAUUAGCUAGUUGGUGGGGUAACGGCUCACCAAGGCGACGAUACAUAGCCGACCUGAGAGGGGGAUCGGCCACACUGGGAGUGAGACACGGCCCAGACUCCUACGGGAGGCAGCAGUAGGGAAUCUUCGGCAAUGGACGGAAGUCUGACCGAGCAACGCCGAGUGAGUGAAGAAGGGUUUCGGAUCGUAAAGCUCUGUUGUAAGAGAAGAACGAGUGUGAGAGUGGAAAGUUCACACUGUGACGGUAUCUUACCAGAAAGGGACGGCUAACUACGUG